UCCGGCCGGGAACUCAAAGGAGACUGCCAGUGAUAAACUGGAGGAAGGUGGGGAUGACGUCAAGUCAUCAUGGCCCUUACGAGUAGGGCUACACACGUGCUACAAUGGCAUAUACAAAGAGAAGCGACCUCGCGAGAGCAAGCGGACCUCAUAAAGUAUGUCGUAGUCCGGAUUGGAGUCUGCAACUCGACUCCAUGAAGUCGGAAUCGCUAGUAAUCGUAGAUCAGAAUGCUACGGUGAAUACGUUCCCGGGCCUUGUACACACCGCCCGUCACACCAUGGGAGUGGGUUGCAAAAGAAGUAGGUAGCUUAACCUUCGGGAGGGCGCUUACCACUUUGUGAUUCAUGACUGGGGUGAAGUCGUAACAAGGUAACCGUAGGGGAACCUGCGGUUGGAUCACCUCCUUA
rnacentral:rRNA from 1 species